CCUACGGGAGGCAGCAGUAGGGAAUCUUCCGCAAUGGACGAAAGUCUGACGGAGCAACGCCGCGUGAACGAUGAAGGCCUUCGGGUCGUAAAGUUCUGUUGUUAGGGAAGAACAAGUGCUAGUUAAAUAAGCUGGCACCUUGACGGUACCUAACCAGAAAGCCACGGCUAACUACGUGCCAGCAGCCGCGGUAAUACGUAGGUGGCAAGCGUUGUCCGGAAUUAUUGGGCGUAAAGCGCGCGCAGGCGGUUUCUUAAGUCUGAUGUGAAGGCCCCCGGCUCAACCGGGGAGGGUCAUUGGAAACUGGGAAACUUGAGUGCAGAAGAGGAAAGUGGAAUUCCAAGUGUAGCGGUGAAAUGCGUAGAGAUUUGGAGGAACACCAGUGGCGAAGGCGACUUUCUGGUCUGUAACUGACGCUGAGGCGCGAAAGCGUGGGGAGCAAACAGGAUUAGAUACCCUGGUAGUCCACGCUGUAAACGAUGAGUGCUAAAGUGUUAGAGGGUUUUCCGCCCUUUAGUGCUGAAGUUAACGCAUUAAGCACUCCGCCUGGGGAUACGGUCGCAAGACUGAAACUCAAAUGAAAUUGACGGCUGAGACGNGCGAGACGACACGAGGGAGGAGG
rnacentral:rRNA from 1 species